rnacentral:rRNA from 1 species
GUAACACGUGGGCAAUCUGCCCUGCACUUCGGGAUAAGCCUGGGAAACUGGGUCUAAUACCGGAUAGGACCUCAAGACGCAUGUCUUCUGGUGGAAAGCUUUUGCGGUGUGGGAUGGGCCCGCGGCCUAUCAGCUUGUUGGUGGGGUGACGGCCUACCAAGGCGACGACGGGUAGCCGGCCUGAGAGGGUGUCCGGCCACACUGGGACUGAGAUACGGCCCAGACUCCUACGGGAGGCAGCAGUGGGGAAUAUUGCACAAUGGGCGUAAGCCUGAUGCAGCGACGCCGCGUGGGGGAUGACGGCCUUCGGGUUGUAAACCUCUUUCACCAUCGACGAAGGUCCGGGUUUUCUCGGAUUGACGGUAGGUGGAGAAGAAGCACCGGCCAACUACGUGCCAGCAGCCGCGGUAAUACGUAGGGUGCGAGCGUUGUCCGGAAUUACUGGGCGUAAAGAGCUCGUAGGUGGUUUGUCGCGUUGUUCGUGAAAUCUCACGGCUUAACUGUGAGCGUGCGGGCGAUACGGGCAGACUAGAGUACUGCAGGGGAGACUGGAAUUCCUGGUGUAGCGGUGGAAUGCGCAGAUAUCAGGAGGAACACCGGUGGCGAAGGCGGGUCUCUGGGCAGUAACUGACGCUGAGGAGCGAAAGCGUGGGGAGCGAACAGGAUUAGAUACCCUGGUAGUCCACGCCGUAAACGGUGGGUACUAGGUGUGGGUUUCCUUCCUUGGGAUCCGUGCCGUAGCUAACGCAUUAA